rnacentral:lncRNA from 1 species
UCCUACUCUAGUCUCUAGGGUACAUCUAACAGGUGUAGAUUCUAGUAUUGAUGUAAACUCCUUAAACAACUGUCUCUCCAUAGGAUGCCAGCAUAAAAUGCAUUAUUAUCUCAAGCAAGAAGAGUGAUGACCCUAGUAGAAUCAUAUGACAAGAAUUUUAAUUAAUUUUUCAAAGUUAUCAAACACAAAAUUUAAGGCUUGUUUGGCAUCGCUUUUACUUCUUAUUUAUCUAAUUUUAAAAACAAAAUUACAAUUUUUCUUGUUUAUUUCUAAAAAUAAUUUUAUUAUUUUUGAAAAAAAUGAAA